rnacentral:lncRNA from 13 species
CCCAAGACAAGUAUCCGAGUGCUCAUAAAGUUUUGUUUCAUUUUGUUUUGCUUUUGGAGGUGAUUCCAGUAAGCACCGGUAAGGAGGCUGAGAAAUUUGAAAGGAAAGAAGUUCAUACAGCGUGUGUUCAUGAAUAGGUUACCGUCAGAGGAAACUGAAGCUCACUCCUGCUGGGGAACUCUGAGACACAAUGCAGAACAUGCCUUGGAGUUGACCCCCCAAGGGUAAAAAGAUAGAGUACAUAUCUUCCAACCCCAGUCUGUCAUUGUCUGAGGGCUGUUCCUGGGGGUGUCACCUCCCCAGAACUGCUGGUCUACCUCAGGAGCGAGAUUCCAGGAGAAGCCCUCAAAGGCAGAGUUGCGGAUGCCUGCACUAGAAGCCAUCUGCAUGCAUGGGAAUGUCCAAGGAUGCCUGCUGCUCCAGGAGACAUUGCACACGAACCAGCAGGAAGGAAGACAAUGAAGCGGGAGGGCCAUCUUCUUUCAAAAAUAGCAUCUUGAAAGUUGUUCUCACAUCCCAUUGGCCAAAAUCUAGUCUACAUGGCCAUUCCUGGUUGCAUGGGAAGCUGCAAGACACAUUAGCUAGGUGGCCGUGGGCUCUGAUCAAGCUCUAUUACCAUGGAAGAAGAUAACAGAUCCUGGAGGAAAACAAGCAGUUUAACCACAAAUGUUAUUCAAAGGAAAAUUGAGAUGCUGGUAUCAGAAGAAGAUGUAGGCAUCCCAAUCAACACAGACCACUAAAAAAAGCACCUAUGUUUGAGGCACUCUGGAUUUGCAGUUUCACAUAGGACACUCUCAUUCUGGAAUUACUUAAGAGAACUGCUAUAGACUGAAUGUUUGUGUCUCUCUCAAAUUCAUGUGUGGAAAUCCCAAUCCCAAAUCUGAUAGUCAUAGAAGGUGGGGCCUUUGAGGGUUGACUGCAUCAGGAAGAAGGACUUCUCAUGAAUGGGAUUGGCAGCUUUAUUAAAAGAGACACCAGAGAACCUGGCCCUCUUGGCCCUCUAUCAUGUGAGGAUACAAUAAAAAGAUGGCCAUCUGUGAACUAGGAUGAGGG